GGAAAUUGGUUAAUGGGCUAAGCCUAGACUAAUAUCUUUGAUCUUUGAAAGUAAAGGUGGAAAAUAGAAUUUAGAUAAAAGCAUCAGGGUAUAAAGUAUAAUUUAUUUGUCAAUAUAAGAUGUGGAUUAGAUGCCCUAGCCCUAGGGCAAACUGUGAACUGUGAAGGCGAAAACAAAAGGCGAUGGAAGAGAAGAACAGAGUAACGGCAACAGGAAUCGCGACAGAGCUCUGUCCUGACUUGGUGGCAGAAGUCCUCGCAAGGCUUCCGUGCAAGUCUCUGCUGCGAUUCAAGUGCGUGUCCAAAAUGUGGCGCUCAACGAUCUCCGAUCCUUCCUUCUGCGCAGCGCGCCGCCGUACCGUCUCCACCUCCGGCCUCUUCAUCAUACGUCUCGAUAGCUAUGACUAUGACUCCUCCAUCCCCUCCUCCUACUCCUUAGGAUGCUUCUACGAAACCCGCGGCGACGCGCACCACGUCAAACUUUUCACCAGAGACACCGAAGUUCACCUAUUUCCCCUGCUCUGUUGGGAUCCAGUCCAAUGAAGAAAUUGAAGCCCAAGACCAACCCCAUAGCCAAGAGAGGCCCAAAGCCAAGUCAAGCCCAAGCCCAAUAGAUAGUGAUUGGAAUGUAAUUUCAUAUUUGGGCAGAGACUAAAGAAGAAAAAGAAGAGGAGAAGAGAGAUAGGCUCUGACAUUUCUGUCAGAGAAGGCUGCCGAAGAAGUCCAAGAUGGAGGCCCCCUCUCUUCCCCGAAGUCUCAAAUUGUGGGCAUGUAGGAAGCUCAUGGCUGAGCUCAUCUUCUCUCUUUGAGGCCUAUAAAUUGAGAAGUUUUGCCAGAGAGAGGCGACGUGUGAGCACAAAUGUAAUCCUGGGGGAUUACUGAGAAGCCACAGCUUGUUGCUGUGUGCAGAGGUACGGGGUUUGUAUUUGUAGAGAUUUGCUAUGGUGCUUUGAGAGCACAGAGAGCAGGAGGUUGUGUGCUGUGAUAUCAGAGAAGAGCCGUGAGAUGGUGAGAGAUGAGGAGAGUGCUGAGAGGUGAGUGGAGUAGAGCUCCUCCUGUUGUACUCAUUGUAAUUCAUUCCAGAGAUAGUGAAUUAUAUUUGUUCCUCCCUCCGUGGAUGUAGGCAUUGUUGGCGAACCACGUAUCUCUUGGUCUUGGUGUGUGUUGUUGAAUAUUGUUGAUGUGACCUGGUAACCGUUUUUUGGGCAUCACAAUUGGUAUAGAGCCAAGUUCGUAGCACUGGAGAGUCACCGGAGCGAUUUCGCGUCGAAUCGGAAGCCGAUUUCGAAUUCUUGACCAAAUUCGAAGUGCUCAAAAAUGGGCGUUUGAGCAUACCACCAGAUUCGUCUCGUCGAGACGAACUCCAGCCCAAACAGCGUCAAAAUAUCGGACGCCGGAUGAGCCUCAGCGCCCCGCCUGAAGUUUCGGCGCGUCGAUCCACGCACCCCACGCGCGCCAAGAAUAAGCGAGUGCCUUCCACGCGCCCCCCCCACGCGGCCCAAAUAAUCUUGGCCUUUCAUCUAAGAAAUUCCAUGGAAACAUCAUCAUUACAAUAAUCGGUUUAGAGGGAGGGGUAGGGGGGGAGGGGGGGAGGGUGACGAUGCGGUAAGGGGAAAGGAGUGGAGGUGUAGGUUGGGGGGAGGUAAAAGUGGCUGGGCGCGGGGAGGGUGGAGAGUGGGGUGUAGGGUUAAGGGGAGGGGGGGGGGGUGUUCCCCUGUCUCCCUCCCCCCCUUCCCCUCUCCCCUCCCCCUCCUCUCCUUCCACGUUCUUCUUUUGCUUCUUUGGGUCCCCCCCCCCCCCCCCUGCUUUGACCAGUCAAUCACAGCCUUUGGACCGGUUAACUCGAGCCGUUGAACCGGCGUUGACCGGCCAUGAACCAGAGCCGUUGACCAUUGACCGGCGUUUGACUGACUCGUUGACCAAACAGUAAAUUGCACUUUCAGUCCCUGGACUUUCUGUUAAUACAGAUUGGUCCCGGAAGUUUGAAAAAUUGCAAUUUAUCCAUGAGUUCUGAUUAAUCAAUUUGGGCCUAGAAGUGUCUGAGUUUUGACAUAAAGCCCUAUUUGAGUUUCUUCGGGCAUUCCGAUUCAUCCGCGAGGUCGGUUUUUCAAAGAUUGUGCUUCCAUUUUGGAAAAGUAAGAGGCGGAGUAUUGAGAGCCCUGAUCAUCUUUCAGAUGCGGAUUACGCCCCAAAAAACCAAGGGAUGAGGAAUGCAUAACAGGAAUAGAGUGGGCAGAUUAUGACAAAUGCCAACAUUGGACACGAGGUGUUCCCUCAUGUAGCACUAUGAGAUGAGUGUUGUAGCUUCAUAUAAUGCAUGAACAUCAGGGGUGUUCCAACAUGUAGCCAUUAGAACAGUGCUCAUGGGUUGUUGACCAAUUGAAGGAUAUGUACCUGGAGAAGACAUCUCAGAACAAAGCCUAAUGAGGAGGCGUGUGUUGAGCUUCAGAGAGGGACUAAUAAGUUGCGAACAAAUGAGCGAGUUCCAGAGAGCCAACAGGAAAGGUCAAAGAAGAGGCCAGAGAAGAGGUCUCAAAGAAAGAGGUCAUAGAGGUCAGGAUAAUAGUCAAGAAGAGUUACCGGCAGAUGAUGGCGGAGGGCAACUCAAGAGGUCGCACUUUAGUGCUUUUAUUGCGACCAGGAGGGACAAGAAGAAUUGUCCAGGAACAAAGUCACAAGAUCAUCUUUUAGAGGCAGCAACAACAGCAAUGAUGGAUGUGGAUGAGAUUGAUGUUCUCGCCUAUCAGCAUCGCAGAUGAAAGAGCAGAUUAGAUGUCUGAUUCAGGAAUUGCUUACCACUUGUGCAGAGACAGAAAGUGUUCUCUACACAUGUAGCAUGCGAGGGACUUGCUACGGAUGGCUAACGACGCGAUUGUUGGCAAAGGACAGUCCGGUUCCACAUGGCAGACGAGGGAUCCAUGAAGUUGACCGGGGUAAGGCAUGUUUUCAUUGAAUGUGGAGUCGAAGCGAUGAAGCUUUGAAGCUGUGGAGGAAAUACUCGAGUUUUCCAAGGGAAACAGGAGAAGCUGCAGGAGACGGAAGACUGGAAGCUAUCCGACUGAAGGGAGAAUGUCCAACAGGAGAGCUGCUGUCCGAGCAUAGGUCCAGUGGUAUUAGCAAGAUGAAUGGACUGAGGAAAGCAAUCGUUGCAACAGAGGCACGCAAAGCAAGCGCAGGAGUACCUGAUGGAUGUACUGAAGGAUCCACAGUGGAACAGGAGCGCAAGGAGAAUGCUUUGAGAUACGUGCGGAAGUCGGCCCGACACGAGAAGGUGCAACCAGUGCCAUGUCCAUGAAGAAGCUCAGAGGAGAGAACAGAUCGAUGCACAACUACAGCGCGAUGUCCGCCGCAACGAGAGUCUCUUCCGCUCGGAUACGUGAUGGUGACUCUCCGUUGUGCACACAAGGGAGGAGAGAUGAAAUCACGACGACUUGCAAAGGCGACGUACUUGCAGGCACCCCAGUGUGUGUAGCAGAGACCUAGUGCGAAGGUGCAUGCACUUCGGUUUUGAGUGCAUUCACUUCAGUGGAAGUGGAGUUGCCGUUGAAUAAGGGUACGUAUCUUCGUAUACUGUUCCUUGCAGAUACUUACAAGGAGAGCUGGACCAGAAAAAAAGUUGUCGGGAAGGAUAACUUGAAGACAUCAUAUUACCCUCCCUAUGGCUGGAGGGGGAGAUUGUUGGGAUCCAGCCCAUGAAGAAAUUGAAGCCCAACCCAUGAAGCCCAAACCAAGCCCCAAUAGCCAAGAGAAGUCCCAGCCCAAAUCAAGCCCAAAGCCCAUAUGAAGAGUGAUAUGAAUUGUAAUUCAUAUUGGUAGAGACGAAAGAAAGAAAGAAGAGAAGAGGAGAAGAGAGAGAGGCUCUGACAGUUUCUGUCAGAAAGCUGCCUGACGAGUCCAAGAUGGAGGCCACCUCUCUUCCCCGAAGCUCAAUGGUGGGCAUGUAUGAGCUCAUGGUCUGAGCUCAUCUUCUCUCUUUGAGGCCUAUAAAUUGAGAAGGUUGCCAGAGAGCGGAAGCCGUUGGGCACAAAGUAAUCCUUGGGGUAUUACUGAGAGCACACAGCUUGUUUGCUGUGUGCAAUGGACUGGGUUGUAUUUUGUAGGAUUUGCUAUGGUGCUUUUGAGAGCACAGAGAGCAGAGAGGGUGUUGCUGUGAAUCGAGAGAGACAGUGAGAUGGUGAAGAUGAGAGAAGUGCUGAGAGGUGAGUGAGAUGAGCUUCCCCUCCCUUUGUUACUCUUGUCUUCAUAUCCAGAGAUAGUGGAAUUAUUGUUUCCUCUCGUGGAAGUGCAUUGUUUGCCGAACCACGUAUAUCUUGUCUUGUGUGUGGUGUUGAUAAAUGGUUAGAUGUGACUGGUAACUCGUUUUGAGCACAACAUGCUCUACGGCGAAUAUUACACCGGAGCCACCGAAGUCGUCAACGGCCUCGUUUGCUUCUAUAAAGGUAACCUUGCGUCCGUCUUCAAUCUCUCUACCCGUGAAAUCAUGUGUCUUCCUUGCUUCUCAGAUGCCAACCCAAACCCAAACCUAAACCCAAACCCAAACCCAAAACCUUAAAUUAUAAUUAUUAUUUUGGGUAUGCUUCUAGUUGUAACGAAUACAAAUUGCUUAAAUUAUACAACGUAAUCGGUGGUCGAGAGUGGGAAUUCCUUACCCUUGGCAAGGGUGCGUCGUGGAGAAGGCCGAGCUCGAGAGCCGAUGCUCCACCCAUUGAUUUGAAGAGAAACCGAAGCAGUGUUUACAUUGACGGAGCUCUCUGUUGCUGGCAUAAAAAGAUUUCCAAUUCUGUGAUUCUAUUGGAUUAAGCAGAUGAAAGCUGGCAAUUGGUUGACCUGCCGCCACAAAUUGCCGAGCCGUAUUGUUGGUUUUUACUACCACUGAGGGGCCGUUUUGCUGUGGCAUCGCCUAUCGAUCGUUGUUUCCAAUUAGAGAUUUGGGUCUUAGAGGGAGGAAGAGGAGGAGGAGGACCAUCACCGUUAUGGACUAACCAUUUCAUUAUUGAUACG
rnacentral:lncRNA from 1 species